UACGGAGGGUGCAAGCGUUGUUCGGAAUUACUGGGCGUAAAGCGCGCGUAGGCGGCUUUCGUAAGUUAGAGGUGAAAGCCCGGAGCUCAACUCCGGAACUGCCUUUAAGACUGCAUCGCUAGAAUUGUGGAGAGGUAAGUGGAAUUCCGAGUGUAGAGGUGAAAUUCGUAGAUAUUCGGAAGAACACCAGUGGCGAAGGCGACUUACUGGACACAUAUUGACGCUGAGGUGCGAAAGCGUGGGGAGCAAACAGG
rnacentral:rRNA from 1 species